rnacentral:tRNA from 1 species
GCGGGCAUAGCUCAGUGGUAGAGCGCCACCUUGCCAUGGUGGAAGUCAGGAGUUCGACCCUCCUUGCCCGCUCCA